rnacentral:rRNA from 1 species
GGGUUGUGAGGUUAAGCGACUAAGCGUACACGGUGGAUGCCCUGGCAGUCAGAGGCGAUGAAGGGCGUGCUAAUCUGCGAUAAGCGCCGGUAAGGUGAUAUGAACCGUUAUAACCGGCGAUACCCGAAUGGGGAAACCCAGUGUGAUUCGUCACACUAUCAUUAACUGAAUCCAUAGGUUAAUGAGGCGAACCGGGGGAACUGAAACAUCUAAGUACCCCGAGGAAAAGAAAUCAACCGAGAUUCCCCCAGUAGCGGCGAGCGAACGGGGAGGAGCCCAGAGCCUGAAUCAGCAUGUGUGUUAGUGGAAGCGUCUGGAAAGGCGCGCGAUACAGGGUGACAGCCCCGUACACAAAAGCGCAUGUGCUGUGAGCUCGAUGAGUAGGGCGGGACACGUGAUAUCCUGUCUGAAUAUGGGGGGACCAUCCUCCAAGGCUAAAUACUCCUGACUGACCGAUAGUGAACCAGUACCGUGAGGGAAAGGCGAAAAGAACCCCGGCGAGGGGAGUGAAAAAGAACCUGAAACCGUGUACGUACAAGCAGUGGGAGCACCCUUUUG